GGAGAAAUGGCUGAGUGGUUUAAGGCGCACGCUUGGAAAGCGUGUGUACGGCAACGUACCGCGGGUUCGAAUCCCGCUUUCUCCGCCA
rnacentral:tRNA from 1 species